AGAGUUUGAUCCUGGCUCAGAUUGAACGCUGGCGGCAUGCUUUACACAUGCAAGUCGAGCGGCAGCGCGGGGGCAACCCUGGCGGCGAGCGGCGAACGGGUGAGUAAUACAUCGGAACGUGUCCCGUAGUGGGGGAUAGCCCGGCGAAAGCCGGAUUAAUACCGCAUAUGCUCUACGGAGGAAAGCGGGGGAUUCGCAAGAACCUCGCGCUAUGGGAGCGGCCGAUGUCCGAUUAGCUUGUUGGUGAGGUAAAGGCUCACCAAGGCGACGAUCGGUAGCUGGUCUGAGAGGAUGAUCAGCCACACUGGGACUGAGACACGGCCCAGACUCCUACGGGAGGCAGCAGUGGGGAAUUUUGGACAAUGGGGGAAACCCUGAUCCAGCCAUGCCGCGUGAGUGAAGAAGGCCUUCGGGUUGUAAAGCUCUUUUGGCCGGAAAGAAAAGAUCUCAUCUAAUACAUGAGGUUCUUGACGGUACCGGCAGAAUAAGCACCGGCUAACUACGUGCCAGCAGCCGCGGUAAUACGUAGGGUGCGAGCGUUAAUCGGAAUUACUGGGCGUAAAGAGUGCGUAGGCGGUUCUUUGUGUCCGCUGUGAAAUCCCCGGGCUUAACCUGGGAAUGGCAGUGGAAACUAGAGGACUUGAAUCCGGCAGAGGGGGGUGGAAUGCCACGUGUAGCAGUGAAAUGCGUAGAUAUGUGGCGGAACACCGAUGGCGAAGGCAGCCCCCUGGGCUGAGAUUGACGCUCAGGCACGAAAGCGUGGGGAGCAAACAGGAUUAGAUACCCUAGUAGUCC
rnacentral:rRNA from 1 species